rnacentral:rRNA from 1 species
UUGCCUCAGUAACGGCGAGUGAAGCGGCAAAAGCUCAGAUUUGAAAUCUGGUAUCAUUUUGGUGCCCGAGUUGUAAUCUGUAGAGGAGUAUUCGAGUGUAGCUUUGGCUUAAGUUCCUUGGAACAGGGCGUCAUAGAGGGUGAGAACCCCGUUAACGGCCUCAGUCUUAUGCUCAUGUGAAUCUUCUUCAACGAGUCGAAUUGUUUGGGAAUGCAGUUCUAAAUGGGUGGUAAAUUCCAUCUAAAGCUAAAUACUGGCAAGAGACCGAUAGCGCACAAGUAGAGUGAUCGAAAGAUGAAAAGAACUCUGAACAGAGAGUUAAACAGUACGUGAAAUUGUUGAAAGGGAAGCACUUGCUACCAGACGCACUUGCAGUCGAUCAACCUCCAUUUUUUGGUGGUGCACUCGGUUGUAGGUGGGCCAGCAUCAGUUACUAGCGGUGGGAUAAAGACCUUGGGAAUGUGGCUUCCUUCGGGGAGUGUUAUAGCCCUUGGUGUAAUACCAUCUGUUGUGACUGAGGACCGCGCUUUUGUGAGGAUGCUGGCAUAAUGGUCGUAAGUGACCCGUCUUGAAACACGGACCAAGGAGUCUAACAUCUAUGCGAGUGUUUGGGUGUUAAAACCCUUACGCGAAAUGAAAGUGAAUGGAGGUGGGAACCGCAAGGUGCACCAUCGACCGAUCCGGAUGUCUUCGGAAGGAUUUGAGUAGGAGCAUAGCUGUUGGGACCCGAAAGAUGGUGAACUAUGCCUGAAUAGGGUGAAGCCAGAGGAAACUCUGGUGGAGGCUCGCAGCGGUUCUGACGUGCAAAUCGAUCGUCAAAUUUGGGUAUAGGGGCGAAAGACUAAUCGAACCAUCUAGUAGCUGGUUCCGGCC